GGCGGCGUGCCUAAUACAUGCAAGUAGAACGCUGAAGAGAGGAGCUUGCUCUUCUUGGAUGAGUUGCGAACGGGUGAGUAACGCGUAGGUAACCUGCCUGGUAGCGGGGGAUAACUAUUGGAAACGAUAGCUAAUACCGCAUAAUAGUAGAUGUUGCAUGACAUUUGCUUAAAAGGUGCAAUUGCAUCACUACCAGAUGGACCUGCGUUGUAUUAGCUAGUUGGUGAGGUAACGGCUCACCAAGGCAACGAUACAUAGCCGACCUGAGAGGGUGAUCGGCCACACUGGGACUGAGACACGGCCCAGACUCCUACGGGAGGCAGCAGUAGGGAAUCUUCGGCAAUGGACGGAAGUCUGACCGAGCAACGCCGCGUGAGUGAAGAAGGUUUUCGGAUCGUAAAGCUCUGUUGUAAGAGAAGAACGAGUGUGAGAAGUGGAAA
rnacentral:rRNA from 1 species